rnacentral:rRNA from 1 species
UACGUAGGGGGCUAGCGUUGUCCGGAAUCAUUGGGCGUAAAGCGCGCGUAGGCGGCCAGAUAAGUCCGGUGUGAAAGUCAAAGGCUCAACCUUUGAAUGCCGCUGGAAACUGUCUGGCUUGAGUCCGGAAGGGGCGAGUGGAAUUCCUGGUGUAGCGGUGAAAUGCGCAGAUAUCAGGAGGAACACCAAUGGCGAAGGCGGCUCACUGGCCCGUAACUGACGCUGAGGCACGAAAGCGUGGGGAGCAAACAGG